rnacentral:rRNA from 1 species
GACGAACGCUGGCGGCGUGCUUAACACAUGCAAGUCGAACGGUAAGGCUCCAGCUUGCUGGGGUACACGAGUGGCGAACGGGUGAGUAACACGUGGGUGACCUGCCCUGCACUUCGGGAUAAGCCUGGGAAACUGGGUCUAAUACCGGAUAGGACCGCACCGUGAGGGUGUGGUGGAAAGUUUUUUCGGUGUGGGAUGGGCCCGCGGCCUAUCAGCUUGUUGGUGGGGUAAAGGCCUACCAAGGCGGCGACGGGUAGCCGGCCUGAGAGGGUGGACGGCCACAUUGGGACUGAGACACGGCCCAGACUCCUACGGGAGGCAGCAGUGGGGAAUAUUGCACAAUGGGCGGAAGCCUGAUGCAGCGACGCCGCGUGGGGGAUGACGGCCUUCGGGUUGUAAACUCCUUUCACCAUCGACGAAGGGUUUCUGACGGUAGAUGGAGAAGAAGCACCGGCUAACUACGUG